rnacentral:lncRNA from 1 species
CAUUUCCCAAUAUCGGUGAACAUCUGGCUCCUCCUCCAACUCAAAGACGUUGUCCUCAGGCCCCGUCCGUUGUUUCCCUCCAAACCAUCUCUGAGCAACUUGCCUCUUUGUCCACAUCCAUGACUCGUAUUUAUAGGAAUGUCACCCGAUUAUCCCACGAGCUUCAUGGAUAUUUUGACCACGUUCGCUAUCCCUAUGCCCAAGUUGCCCUUCCGGAAGAAGUGCCGGAUGCCGAGGCGGAUGUUAAUGUUGACAAUGAAUAAUGUCUUGUCUACUUUUUUCUUGCUUCCAUUAUGUAUCGUUUGAAUAAUAUUUUGUCUAUUUUUCUUGCUCUAUUAUGUAUUUUCAAUAUUGUUUCCUCAAUAAAAGUUUCUUAUUUUUUUGCUAAUGUCAAAAGGGGGAAGAAUAAGGGCUAUACACACUAAUACAUAUUGGCAUAAAUUAAGGGGGAAUUCAUAAAUUGAGGGGGAACUCAUUC